AACGAACGCUGGCGGCAGGCCUAACACAUGCAAGUCGAACGCCGUAGCAAUACGGAGUGGCAGACGGGUGAGUAACGCGUGGGAACAUACCCCUCGGUUCGGAAUAACUCAGGGAAACUUGAGCUAAUACCGGAUACGUCCGAGGUUUUAAUCGGCCUUGGAGAAAGAUUUAUCGCCGGAGGAUUGGCCCGCGUCUGAUUAGCUUGUUGGUGAGGUAAUGGCUCACCAAGGCGACGAUCAGAGCUGGUCUGAGAGGAUGAUCAGCCACAUUGGGACUGAGACACGGCCCAAACUCCUACGGGAGGC
rnacentral:rRNA from 1 species